AGUUCGGAUCGGAGUCUGCAACCCGACUCCGUGAAGCUGGAUUCGCUAGUAAUCGCGCAUCAGCCAUGGCGCGGUGAAUACGUUCCCGGGCCUUGUACACACCGCCCGUCAAGCCAUGGGAGCCGGGAGCGCUUGAAGUGCGUCGCCGCGAGGCGCGCCCUAGAGCGAGACCGGUGACUGGGGCUAAGUCGUAACAAGGUAAC
rnacentral:rRNA from 1 species